AUUGAAGUAGAAAUUUAAAAGGAAAGAAAGAGAGAAUAGUGUCUUAUUAAGCUAAUGUUCAAAAUGUUACGCAUAGAGCAUGUAACAUUUGAUAAAUCUCCAACCAGACGUCCUCAAAUUCCUCACUCUUCCACACAAAAUCAACAAUACAAAGAGCUUAACAAAAUAAAUACACAAAUAAGUAAAUUAUUUGUAAUCUACAACAAUAUGAAAGCAAAUUAAAAUGACCAAAUUAAAUUUAGAACAAAAGUGCUACACUCCCAAGAAUUGCUACCAUAGCCAUGCUACUAAUUCCAUGAACAAAACCAUUAGACGGAGGAGGAGCCAUUCCACCAUUCAUAGGUCCCGGUGCAGCUGGCUCUGAUCCCACGGGUUCCAUUCCGGGUGCCAUAGGAGCUGGUGGUGCCAUAUUGGUGGUGGUGACAUGGUGGCCAUUGGUGGUGGUGACAUGGCGGCCAUUGGUGGUGGUGACAUGGCGGCCAUUGGUGGAGGAGUGGUAGUCAUUGGUGGCAUUGCCAUGGUAGAUGGUGGCAUUGUGGGGGCCAUCAUAGGAGAUUGAGCAGCAGAAAGAGCUACAAAUGUAAGGAAAAGGGAGAGAAAGAUCAUGGGACGUGAGAGAGCCAUGACUACUGAUGAUGACUCUCUUAGGAUUUGUUUCUUUUAAGAAAUAGAGGAGAGAAUUC
rnacentral:lncRNA from 1 species